rnacentral:rRNA from 1 species
CCGGCCGGCACGGGUGAGUAACACGUAUCCAACCUGCCGUCUACUCUUGGACAGCCUUCUGAAGGAAGAUAAUACAAGAUGGCACCAUGAGUUCACAUGUUCACAUGAUUAAAGGUAUUCCGGUAGACGAUGGGGAUGCGUUCCAUUAGAUAGUAGGCGGGGUAACGGCCCACCUAGUCUUCGAUGGAUAGGGGUUCUGAGAGGAAGGUCCCCCACAUUGGAACUGAGACACGGUCCAA